rnacentral:pre_miRNA from 2 species
GGGCUAUGGUGCAGCCAAGGAUGACUUGCCGAUCGACGGACGCUGGUUUGGUCAUUAUAGUUAAUGACGCAUCAUCAUACACGUUGAUCUAUCGGCGAGUUGUUCUUGGCUACAUCUUAGCUCCU